rnacentral:rRNA from 1 species
GACGAACGCUGGCGGCGUGCUUAACACAUGCAAGUCGAACGGAAAGGCCCUGCUUUUGUGGGGUUCUCGAGUGGCGAACGGGUGAGUAACACGUGAGUAACCUGCCCUUGACUUUGGGAUAACUUCAGGAAACUGGGGCUAAUACCGGAUAGGAGCUCCUGCUGCAUGGUGUGGGUUGGAAAGUUUCGGCGGUUGUGGAUGGACUCGCGGCUUAUCAGCUUGUUGGUGGGGUAGUGGCUUACCAAGGCUUUGACGGGUAGCCGGCCUGAGAGGGUGACCGGCCACAUUGGGACUGAGAUACGGACCAGACUCCUACGGGAGGCAGCAGUGGGGAAUAUUGCACAAUGGGCGGGAGCCUGAUGCAGAAACGCCGCGUGCGGGAUGACGGCCUUCGGGUUGUAAACCGCUUUCGCCUGUGACGAAGCGUGAGUGACGGUAAUGGGUAAAGAAGCACCGGCUAACUACGUG